rnacentral:rRNA from 1 species
UACGAAGGGGGCUAGCGUUGUUCGGAAUUACUGGGCGUAAAGCGCGUGUAGGUGGCGCCGAAAGUUAGAUGUGAAAGCCCUGAGCUCAACUCGGGAAUUGCAUUUAAAACUACGGUGCUAGAGUACGGCAGGGGAUAGUAGAAUACCCAGUGUAGAGGUGAAAUUCGUAGAUAUUGGGUGGAAUACCAAUGGCGAAGGCAGCUAUCUGGGCCGUAACUGACACUGAGACGCGAAAGCGUGGGUAGCAAACAGG